rnacentral:rRNA from 1 species
GAUGAACGCUGGCGGCGUGCCUAAUACAUGCAAGUCGAGCGAAUGGAUUAAGAGCUUGCUCUUAUGAAGUUAGCGGCGGACGGGUGAGUAACACGUGGGUAACCUGCCCAUAAGACUGGGAUAACUCCGGGAAACCGGGGCUAAUACCGGGUAACAUUUUGAACCGCAUGGUUCGAAAUUGAAAGGCGGCUUCGGCUGUCACUUAUGGAUGGACCCGCGUCGCAUUAGCUAGUUGGUGAGGUAACGGCUCACCAAGGCAACGAUGCGUAGCCGACCUGAGAGGGUGAUCGGCCACACUGGGGCUGAGACACGGCCCAGACUCCUACGGGAGGCAGCAGUAGGGAAUCUUCCGCAAUGGACGAAAGUCUGACGGAGCAACGCCGCGUGAGUGAUGAAGGCUUUCGGGUCGUAAAACUCUGUUGUUAGGGAAGAACAAGUGCUAGUUGAAUAAGCUGGCACCUUGACGGUACCUAACCAGAAAGCCACGGCUAACUACGUGCCAGCAGCCGCCGUAA